rnacentral:rRNA from 1 species
UGAGGAAUAUUGGUCAAUGGGCGAGAGCCUGAACCAGCCAAGUCGCGUGAAGGAAGACUGCCUUAUGGGUUGUAAACUUCUUUUAUACAGGAAUAAAAAGGCUUACGUGUAGGCCAUUGCAAGUACUGUAUGAAUAAGCAUCGGCUAACUCCGUGCCAGCAGCCGCGGUAAUACGGAGGAUGCGAGCGUUAUCCGGAUUUAUUGGGUUUAAAGGGUGCGCAGGCGGGCUUUUAAGUCAGCGGUGAAAUCUGGACGCUUAACGUCCAAACUGCCAUUGAAACUGGGAGUCUUGAGUAUGGAUGAAGUAGGCGGAAUUCGUUGUGUAGCGGUGACAUGCAUAGAUAUAACGAGGAACUCCGAUUGCGUAGGCAGCUUACUAAGCCAUAACUGACGCUCAUGCACGAAAGCGUGGGGAUCAAACAGGAUUAGAUACCCUGGUAGUCCACGCCGUAAACGAUGAUUACUAGUUGUAUGCGAUAUGAUAGUAUGUGACUAAGCGAAAGCGAUAAGUAAUCCACCUGGGGAGUACGCCGGCAACGGUGAAACUCAAAUGAUUGACGGGUCAUAGCUGUUUCCUG